CGGCAAGCUGGCGGUCUUGAAAAGCCACGUACACAGUGAAUGCAUUUUCCAGAACUCUCGCACAUUCAGGGCCUGGUCUUUCCAACGCAGUUGCUGUGCAGUUUGAAUACAGUCACGAGAAAAUAAGGAUAUGGGGAAGAGAAUGACUUGAAGACAGCAUUACCAAAUGACUUUCACCCACAAGGGAAGAACAUGGCUUUCAGGAAUUUGGUGGUGGUGGCGUUUGCUCAGCAGCACCAGGCUUUCACCUCCAUCCUUUCUUAACGAUCGGACACAUGUGCAAUAGACUCUCGAUGCAUGCACUGCAGGGCUGUGAUUUCAUAUAACUACCUGUGUAGAUGUAUGCCUAACUUUAAGUUUGUCAUUUGACUGUGGAGGAGUAGAACAGCUCAGUUGCCCUUGCUGUUGGCUGUUGUGAAUGGACAGGAUGAAUACUUUAAGAAACAGGAAAAGAUACAUUUAGAGCAAAAAAUCAUUCUCCUUGAUGAAUUGAAUGUAAUGGGUGGUCACUUCUACAGUAGGACCUUUGAACAUGUUCAGAAACAAGCAAAAUUUAAUAGUAACUCCAGAAAAUACUCUUUUUAAUUCCUUUUCCCAGUUUCUUUUCCUAAUUUCUUUAUUAAAUAGGCCUGACAUGUCACAUUCCAUGGUCUCAGUGUUGAGAUACUUAGAGUUAUAAAAUCCUAUUAGAUUACUGGCAGCCCUUUCAGCGUUGAAACUGAAAGCUGGAUGAUAUGAAAACAGAGCAGAUUGUGCCUGACCAAUCUGGUGGACUGCUACGACAGGGUGACUGCCUUCAUGUAUAAUGGAAGAUUUUGUCUACCUGGAAUUCUGCAAGGCCUUUGACACAGUUCUGUGGUUCUAUGAUUCCAUAAUUCUAUGAUUCUAUGAUGUCAGUGGGACCAAGCAUUCAACUCAACUCUUUCCUGCUGUGGAGUGUUGGGCAGUGAAACACAAAAACGUCACGUGCAGGAGUACAGCCCAGAGUCCUCUAGCUGGGCAUCUGUUAUCUCCAGGCUCCCAUUAUGAAACACCCUAAAUUUGUCGGUCUCCAUGUCUGGCUCCAGCAAUUUAUUCUCUGGACUAACCCAAACGAAGUGUGUGCCUG
rnacentral:lncRNA from 1 species